GACGAACGCUGGCGGCGUGCCUAAUACAUGCAAGUUGAGCGAUGAAGAUUGGUGCUUGCACCAAUUUGAAGAGCAGCGAACGGGUGAGUAACGCGUGGGGAAUCUGCCUUUGAGCGGGGGACAACAUUUGGAAACGAAUGCUAAUACCGCAUAACAACUUUAAACAUAAGUUUUAAGUUUGAAAGAUGCAAUUGCAUCACUCAAAGAUGAUCCCGCGUUGUAUUAGCUAGUUGGUGAGGUAAAGGCUCACCAAGGCGAUGAUACAUAGCCGACCUGAGAGGGUGAUCGGCCACAUUGGGACUGAGACACGGCCCAAACUCCUACGGGAGGCAGCAGUAGGGAAUCUUCGGCAAUGGACGAAAGUCUGACCGAGAAACGCCGCGGGAGUGAAGAAGGUUGUCGGAUCGUAAAACUCUGUUGGUAGAGAAGAACGUUGGUGAGAGUGGAAAGCUCAUCAAGUGACGGUAACUACCCAGAAAGGGACGGCUAACUACGUG
rnacentral:rRNA from 1 species